rnacentral:SRP_RNA from 1 species
GCUGGGUACGGUGGCGCGUGCCUGUAGUCCCAGCUACUUGGGAGUCUGAGGCUGGAGGAUCGCUUGAGUCCAGGAGUUCUGGGCUGUAGUGUGCUAUGCCGAUUGGGUGUCCGCACUAAGUUUGGCAUCAAUAUGGUAACCUCCCGGGAGCAGGGGACUAGUUGCCUAAGGAGGGGUAAACUGGCCCAGGUUGGAAAAGGAGCAGGUCAAAACUCCCGUGCUGAUUAGUAGUGGGAUCGCGCCUGUGAAUAGCCACUGCAGUCCAGCCUGGGCAACAUAGCGAGACCCCAUCUCU